rnacentral:lncRNA from 1 species
AGAAACUUUUCUCUUUCCUUCUCAAGAAAGAGAAGUAGACAUUCGUUCCUCUCAUUUCUUUCUCCCACACAAAGGUUUCGAAAUUUUGAAUCCCAAAUUCUCUCUCUUCGCUCAUUGCUGCUCCAUCGUGCAUCAAGCGGCCAUACCCCCGCUGUCGUCGACGAACCACAUUACCGCUGCCCUUGCUCUGAUGCUGGCUCGCUUCUCUCUUUGUG